CUUCAACUUUUAUCAUCUCCCUCUCAUUCGCUCACUCACUCUCACACUCACACUCACACUCUCUCUCACACACACACACACAUAUAUAUAGAGUAAGAAUCUUAGACUCACCCAUCUAAAAACUCACUCGACUCACCUAUAUAUACACUCCUUUUUUGCUUCUCUUUCCUCAUUACAGUCAGCCCAAAAAAGAUCAAAUACGACUUUUGCUCGCCUCUCUCUCUCCGCGAAAAAUUGCAGCCCCUUGUCCCUCUCUCUUCGCGACGAGUCAGUCCCUUCUCUCUCCUCCGAAUCACCUUGCAGCAAUAUAUAUCGACGAAGAGAUCUCCACAUCAGCAACUGAAGCCAUUUCGCUAGACAAACUAAUACGAAGAGAUGUGAGCCCUUCUCGUCGAUUCGUCAAUUUUAGACCAAGGUAACAAAAUUAGAACUUUGUAUAUGGAUUUUCUUGUUGUAUGGGUUGAAAUCAGGCUUAGAUUUGUUCCAAUUUGUGUUUUGGUGUUCAAGAAUAGCUUUUUUAGGGCUUAAAAUUAAUGAGGGCCAAACCCUAUAAUCUGCAAAUUUUGGUUAAGAUUUUCUGUUUUCAGUUUAUUGUAAUAGUAAUGAGUCCAUCGUGAUAGUAAUUAAUGAGUCAUUUUUUCUGCUGAAGAAUUUACUUUGGUUGUGAGAAAAUUGCACUAAUAUAGUCAAAAUAGCUUGGGAUGGAGUUGGGUUCGGUGUACAAAGCUGGUAUGUUGUAGUCUUUUGAUGUAAAUAGAAAUGUUUUGCACAUCCUCUGUAAUGGAAAAUUUCAAAGCUGUUUGUACAAAAUUAUUGACAUUGUGGACUCUAAUGCGUACAGCGAGCUGGAGUAGUCUUAUCUCGCUAAUAUUAACAUUAGCCUUGCAUUUAUUUGCUGCUGGAAUAGUGUUUGUUUACAUAUUCUUUGAGUCAUUAGAUGGUGCGAUAUUAUUAAUUCCAGGGGGCACGCAUAUUCUUUGAGUCAUUUGCAGUUGAUUAAUGUAUUUCGUCUGCUGUCUAUUUGCUGCUGUCAGUUUUUUGUGCGACAGAUCAAGGCAAAUAAUGCCUGGAUUAAUUCGAAAGAUCAAUGGAAUGGAAGAUCAAUGGAAUGGAGCAAGAGAAGGAGAACAUGCGUGCAAUAACAUGCGUGCAAUAGGCAACAAAGGAAGAACAAAAUUAAUUAUUGCACUUGUAUGUUCUUGGUUAUUGAUUUUAAUAAUGUUAUUGUAGAAGGAGUAAAAAUUGUCAUUUGGCUUGAUUAAACUUUGGUGUUAAUUUAUUGUAACCUUGUCUAAGAAGGACAUGUAAUCAUAGUAUGAUUUCGUUUUUUAUGGUUGUGUAAUCGUGUGGUGGCAAUGAAAUAUGAAAUACUUAUUUACUAAAUCGUGUGGUGUGAAUGUUAUAUGUUACCUGUAC
rnacentral:lncRNA from 1 species